rnacentral:piRNA from 1 species
UGACCCAUCAGCAGUAGCUACGCAGA